rnacentral:sRNA from 1 species
CAGGAACAUACGUGUAUAUGGCACCGGAGGUAAUUCGGUGCGAGCCCUACGAUGAAAAAUGUGAUGUAUACAGUUUUGGGAUCAUUCUCAACGAGUUACUUACUGGAAACUACCCUUAUAUAGAGACACAACUUGGUCCCGCCAAGAUUGCUAUGGAAGUUGUGGAGGAUGAGCUAAGGCCUUUAGUUGCAUCAAAGGACGAUGGUGAGGAACUGGAAG